rnacentral:lncRNA from 1 species
AUGCUUCCAAGAGCACUCUAGGACCACAGGCUGGAGCUACAACCCCACCAGGAAGCACUGUGGGUUAGCCUCCUCAAGAGGAACCAGUUUGUGUCGGGGCUGGUACUCAGAAGCAAACUAGAACUAAGAAGAACCUGAAACCGAGCUCCGAGUGGAGAGAGCUUAACCACAAGACAGCAACAGAGGUAACCUGCCCGGAGGAGACGGAAGUGGGAUGAAGGAAGGAUGUAGAGUGUUAGUCCUUUUCAACUUGGCCUGAGGUUU